GACCCAGUGGCGGAUGGUCCGCAUCUGUUUCUCUUGAUCGAUAAAAUCUAGUGUCAGCAGAAUGAGCCCGUUCGAUCCGGGCCUGGGUCA